GUUAAUAAAGAAGUGUUGCACGUGCUAGGAUUUAAUAAGAUUCAUGAUGUGAAUGAUCUUUAGAGAGCUGGAUGAAGGAAUUAUGAUUCAACCAGAAGAUACUAAAACUGCUGAAAGGAUUCUCAAGGUAGAUAUGGAAGUUUAUAUUUUGAGCGGUGUAAGGAACUUUCGGUCACUAAACUUUAGUAUGAUGGGUACAAAAUUACAAAGUGCAAAAUAAAAGAAGACAAAGUUGGUACUCUACCAAGAUGGAUAUAUAUUGGGCAAAAAUGAAGUCAAAAGCUUCAGCGAGGUUGUCAUAUUCUGCUUUUAACCGGGGGAAGAAUGUGAAUAUUGUCGAUAGGGAGAUGGAAAAUUAUCUGCGAGCAACUGUGAAAUCUGUGAGCAGAUUAAGCAGAGUUGCAAGCAGAAGGCCUUUGCUUAGUCAAUGAAGAUGAGCCUGGAAAGAAGGCUGGUGGUUUUGGUCUUAAGUUGCUUCGCAUUUUUCAGUUGAAAGUUUUCCGUUGCUGACCAACUAAAUUAUAUAGAGGUACUAGAGCUCGAUACCAUGGAAGAACUACCAUUAAUGUUGGAUAUGUCAAAGUUUUUUAUUUUGAUGGCUCUUUUGACCAUGCUACCUCACUUGGGCAUGUGGAGAUCAAAUUUCUGAAGCACACAUCCUCAUAACUAGCUGGCAUUAAAUUUGGGCGACCUUAAGGAAAAACUUGCACAACAUCUCAGUUCAAAUUGCAUAACAAUGUUUCGAAUAAUAAUAAUUGAGUUGCAACGAUAAAGAGUAUUUAACGAAGAAAGAGAAGGAAAUCGGU